GGCCGCACUAGUGAUUAGAGUUUGAACCUGGCUCAGGAUGAACGCUGGCGGCGUGCUUAACACAUGCAAGUCGAACGAAGCGAUUGGAAGGAAGUUUUCGGAUGGAAUUCUGAUUGACUGAGUGGCGGACAGGUGAGUAACGCGUGGGUAACCUGCCUCAUACAGGGGGAUAACAGUUAGAAAUGACUGCUAAUACCGCAUAAGCGCACAGGAUUGCAUGAUCCAGUGUGAAAAACUCCGGUGGUAUGAGAUGGACCCGCGUCUGAUUAGCUAGUUGGUGGGGUAACGGCCCACCA
rnacentral:rRNA from 1 species